CACCCCCAACACCCCCCCUCCUCAAGUCAAGGAAUUAGUUUUUGUCUAUUAGAAUCAGAAGUAAAAUGGCUUUGAUUCUUGUAGGCCUUGAAGGAGCUACCCCGAGAAAAGAUUCAAUUGUCCACAAAAUUUGGGAUCAUAACGUGUGAUCAAAGUGAUUUCUUGAUAAAUGGUAGGUCAGACUAUGUACGGGCAUGCUGUGAAGCAUGCCUCUAGCGCCUAGGCUUGGAACACAUUGAUCUAUUUUAUCAACAUUGUGUUGAUAAGACCAUGCAAUAGAGGAAACUGUAAAUAAAGAUUGCUUUAAUGGUAGAUUUCUUAGUGAAACCCUAUAAAAGCUGAGGUUAAAGAAAAUCAUUUUACAUUUAUGAAAUAUAUUACUUACCAUAAAAAGGUAUACUAUUAAAACUUUAUUCAUCCAUGCUUGAGGACGCUCCUACACAUAAUCAAAGUUUUAAGUCUCGGCGGGAUGGGGUGGUGUCUCGGCCGUCCUAUCCCAUUUCUGUGAGAAAAUGGGACGGAACGGGUCGGGACUUUGAAACUCAUCCAUGAGGGGAAAGAAGAAGGAAAAAGGAAAGAAAGAGAGGA
rnacentral:lncRNA from 1 species